GGUAAAAUGUCUGAGUAAGCAUUAGACUGUAAAUCUAAAGACAGAGGUUCUAACCCUCUUUUUACCA
rnacentral:tRNA from 1 species